AGGAAUAUUGGUCAAUGGCCGGAAGGCUGAACCAGCCAUGCCGCGUGAAGGUCAGUGCCCUAUGGGCGUUAAACUUCUUUUGUGCGGGAGCAAUAAGGUCCACGUGUGGGCCGACGAGAGUACCGUACGAAUAAGCAUCGGCUAACUCCGUGCCAGCAGCCGCGGUAAUACGGGGGAUGCAAGCGUUAUCCGGAUUUAUUGGGUUUAAAGGGUGCGUAGGCGGGCUUUUAAGUCAGCGGUAAAAAUUCGGGGCUCAACCCCGUCCGGCCGUUGAAACUGGGGGCCUUGAGUGGGCGAGAAGAAGGCGGAAUGCGUGGUGUAGCGGUGAAAUGCAUAGAUAUCACGCAGAACUCCGAUUGCGAAGGCAGCUCACUAGACUGCAACUGACACUGAUGCUCGAAAGUGUGGGUAUCAAACAG
rnacentral:rRNA from 1 species